ACGGACGACGCGGGGUGCGCCGCACGGCGCUGAGAUCACACCCGUCGAACCUGAUCUAGAUCGUGCUAGCGAAGGGACGUCGCAUGACCGCCUC
rnacentral:ncRNA from 2 species